rnacentral:rRNA from 2 species
AGCAUAGCGAUUUGGGAUAAGUCCCUUGGAAAAGGGCAGCAUGGAGGGUGAUACUCCCGUCUCUGCUCGGAUUGUCUGUGUGUACGAUACGCUUUCUUUGAGUCGAGUUGUUUGGGAAUACAGCUCACAGUAGGUGGUAAAUUCCAUCUAAAGCUAAAUAUUGGUGCGAGACCGAUAGCGAACAAGUACCGUGAGGGAAAGAUGAAAAGAACUUUGAAAAGAGAGUUAAAGAGUACCUGAAACUGUUGAAAGGGAACCGUAUCGUUUCCAGUGUUUUAUCCUGUGCAUAUUUCAUUAGCGGAGCAAUUUGCUGGUGCCCUGUGCAUGGGUGUGACGUCAGAGUCAGUUUGUAUGCUGCGGGAGAUGGUCAGUGAGGAGGUGCGUCACUUCGGUGAAAGUUAUAUCUCGCUGUCUAGUAGCCGUGGUUGAGACUGAGGUGCC